CAAGUCUUCUUCUAUCGGGGUAGGCUCUUCGAGUUUCUCGAGAUAGAUUCGUUUGGAAUUUGUUCAUAUCGAACACCUGAAAGUUAGAACAGUAAAUGUAAGAUUGUUUGCUGAUGCUUCGUUCUCUGGAAUUAUAUUUCAGGAGUCACACCUGCUUGUUUGGAAAGUGUUGACUUAGAGGGACAUAAGUAAAAUCCAAAAAAAUAGUGCAUAAGCAGAAGCGGAGUUGUAAAACACUUACUUUCCCUGGCUUCUCGUGUUCCAACGCUCCUUGAGAAUUCCGUGCGAUUUCCGCUCCAAUUGCGUUGUCUUCCUGACUCGUUGGCUUUAUCCUCCUCCGUCUUCACGUCCCUCAUCGGAUUCUCGAAGCCGCACAGACCUAUCCUGAAUUUUGCGAGGCGGCAACGAUUAAACAACGAAGAACAUGGUUUCGCCUAUUGGAUUCUGGGUGUAAUAAAUGAGUCUUUUUAAUAAGUUUGCUGUUUACUGUUCAAGGGACGGACGUUAAGACACGUUUACUGUUCAAGGGACGCACGAGAACUAAACUGAAAACUCAGGCCUACGAGGAAGAGAAAUCUAGCGUCCACUUAAAGAAAGAAAAUUCUGCCUGCGCUCUGUUUAUUACCCUGGCCUUCGAUGACAAACAGACAAGGGUCUUCAGACCUGGUGGUGCCAGUCCGAUACUCUAACAGACUCUAACUUACAGAGAAAAGGGCAGUGUCUCUCAAUGCUAGAUUCAUCUUUGUUGUCAAAUUAUAUGUAUAUAAUUCAACAUCGCCUAAUAGAAGUUUCAGAGGUGAAAAUCAUUU